GUUGCACUUGGAAGUUUCCAAGUUUUUUUUAUAUACUGUCUAUGGAAGUUUCCCGCAAUUUGGAAAACAGUUAGAAGAAGCCUGGAAAACCUCAAUCAUGCAGUGAUUGUAAGUUAUUGAAUCAGUAUUUCUUAAGUAAUUUCGUGUUGACACCAUGGCCGCACUGGAACCAUAUGCUGAUUUAAUUAAAGAUUUAUUUGAAACUGGCAAGACACAUGUAGAGAUUUCCACAACGCUGCAGCAAAUGGGUAUCCAGCGAUGUUCUGAAAUGAGUGUGAGAAGAUUCUGUGUUCAGCACAACCUUAAGUGAAAAAGACAUGUAUCGGACACAGAACUGGAGAGGGCUGUGGUUGGAUCAAUAUAUGAAACGGGCCCAUCUUAUGGCCGCAAGUUCAUGACUGGAUAUCUGUCUUCAAUGGGAGUGCAUGCAGGAGAAUGUCGAGUUGGGAAAAUCCUCAGAGAGAUUCAUCAGCCACACCACGAAUUCCGACGUCAGGCAAGUCAUAUGCUAAGAAUGAAAUAGACCUACAGUACAUGAUGUUGCAUGCAUAUAAGAAUUUCUUUGAUGUAGAAAUGGUUCGUGAAUAUUCUGGGCUCAAAAUAUAAAACAUGUCUUCAGGGUGCUCGUAAUCUAAAUCCCAUCCCGUAUCAUGCGGAAUAUAUGGGCCAUAAAAUUCACAUGGACCCAAACGAGAAGCUUGUGAUGUUUGGAGUGACACACGUCGUGGCAGUUGAUGGCUACAGCGGCAAAAUUGUUGCCAAUGCCACCAUGCCAGUGAAAAACAACCUUGUGAUUUAUGAGGAAGUUUACAGAUCUGCAGUGGUUAACCAUGGUUUGUGGGACCAACUCAGGGUCGACCAUGGCAGGGAGUUUUACAUGUGCUUGUACAUGCAAAAGAUGCUGUCAAGACAUAACACAGAGACAUAAGACACAACCCUAGCAGGCCACCAUACCUUCAAACAACCUCAACAAGGAAUCUUCGAGUGGAAAGGAUUUGGCCCGAGGUGAACAAUCAUGUUAACUACCCAUUGAAACAGGCCCUGGUACACCUGCUGGACCAAGAAGUCCUCAACAUGGAGGACAAUAUGACUAAAUUCUGCAUUUCAAACCUGACAUGUCAAUUUAGCCACAUUGGACUAGGCAGAGUGGUGCAAUCGUGGAAUGCACACAGGAUCCCAGGAUGUGGGAUACCCAAUGAACUCGCAGCAGGUGGCUGUCCAGCUAAAAUCUCUGAAGAGCUGCUGCCCAAUGCCUCUGUUGUGGCAAACAUGUAUGAGCAAGAGUUUGGAUCCUCGCUGACUUGGGUCUCAGUUUUUGGAACUGACCCAUUUUCAUCUGAGGAGGAUAGAUGUCAUGCAGAACAAGACUUUGCAGAAAACUACCCUGACAUCUCUCUUCUUUUUAAUCAUGUGGUCAACAAUGACUAUACACCUUUCCAAGAUGCCUUGUUGUACCUCAUAAAUGUCACCCAAAGAUAUGUCUGAAAACAGUAACUGAAAUGCUGUGGUGUUGUUAAGUGGCUAGGAAAACAUAAUGUGUUAUGCUACAGUGCUGAUUCAAAUUUCGUCAACCCUUUAUGCAGUUAUAGUUUUUAUAUAAAAUCUUAAUUGGCCUCCACACUGUUGGAAUCAACUAUG